GAGUUUGAUCCUGGCUCAGGACGAACGCUGGCGGCGUGCUUAACACAUGCAAGUCGAACGGAAAGGCCCUGCUUUUGUGGGGUGCUCGAGUGGCGAACGGGUGAGUAACACGUGAGUAACCUGCCCUUGACUUUGGGAUAACUUCAGGAAACUGGGGCUAAUACCGGAUAGGAGCUCCUGCUGCAUGGUGGGGGUUGGAAAGUUUCGGCGGUUGGGGAUGGACUCGCGGCUUAUCAGCUUGUUGGUGGGGUAGUGGCUUACCAAGGCUUUGACGGGUAGCCGGCCUGAGAGGGUGACCGGCCACAUUGGGACUGAGAUACGGCCCAGACUCCUACGGGAGGCAGCAGUGGGGAAUAUUGCACAAUGGGCGGAAGCCUGAUGCAGCAACGCCGCGUGCGGGAUGACGGCCUUCGGGUUGUAAACCGCUUUCGCCUGUGACGAAGCGUGAGUGACGGUAAUGGGUAAAGAAGCACCGGCUAACUACGUGCCAGCAGCCGCGGUGAUACGUAGGGUGCGAGCGUUGUCCGGAUUUAUUGGGCGUAAAGGGCUCGUAGGUGGUUGAUCGCGUCGGAAGUGUAAUCUUGGGGCUUAACCCUGAGCGUGCUUUCGAUACGGGUUGACUUGAGGAAGGUAGGGGAGAAUGGAAUUCCUGGUGGAGCGGUGGAAUGCGCAGAUAUCAGGAGGAACACCAGUGGCGAAGGCGGUUCUCUGGGCCUUUCCUGACGCUGAGGAGCGAAAGCGUGGGGAGCGAACAGGCUUAGAUACCCUGGUAGUCCACGCUGUAAACGGUGGGUACUAGGUGUGGGGUCCAUUCCACGGGUUCCGUGCCGUAGCUAACGCUUUAAGUACCCCGCCUGGGGAGUACGGCCGCAAGGCUAAAACUCAAAGGAAUUGACGGGGCCCCGCACAAGCGGCGGAGCAUGCGGAUUAAUUCGAUGCAACGCGUAGAACCUUACCUGGGUUUGACAUGGAUCGGGAGUGCUCAGAGAUGGGUGUGCCUCUUUUGGGGUCGGUUCACAGGUGGUGCAUGGCUGUCGUCAGCUCGUGU
rnacentral:rRNA from 1 species